GUUAUCUCCCAUACACCGUUACAUAUCAAAGUUCAUCGCUGAGUUAAAUUAGCGUUGUUCAAACUUCAGUUUGAUUUCUGUGUUGUGUGUUGUUGGAUGUAUGUAUUUCUUCGAGUAAUAGUCUAUAAAUGGAACCUAAUUAUUUUCUCUCUUUCGUGUAAUACUCAAUUCAUAUUUUCCUGUUUCAAUGGUUCUACAAUAGUCAUUUGAGGGCUUUUUGUAGCUUGUAAUUCUUGUAAGGCUCCAUGUUAAAGGGCGUACUCUGACCUAAAAUGUUUUAUUUUCUACAAAUUGUGUCUUGGAUGGAGAGUUGUCUCAUUGGCACUCAUACCACAUCUUCUU
rnacentral:lncRNA from 1 species